UUGCAGUCGGACGCGGGCACGCCGAUCAGGCA
rnacentral:scRNA from 1 species